GGAGGUAAAAGUCGUAACAAAGUUUCCGUAGGUGAACCUGCGGAAGGAUCAUUCAUAAUAAAGUGUUUUAUGGCACUUUUUAAAAUCCAUAUCCACCUUGUGUGCAAUGUUAGAUCUCGUCAAUCUUGGCGAGAUUUUUAUACAUCAACUCAUUCUUUAACUAAUUUGUCUGAAAAAUAUUAUGAAUACUUAAUUCAAAAUACAACUUUCAACAACGGAUCUCUUGGCUCUC
rnacentral:misc_RNA from 1 species